GGCAUUCUGUAUUCGUGCUGAGAUUUCGUCACACACCAGACCGCAACAGCUGAUGAGACUUUCAAGAUAAAUAAAGCG
rnacentral:pre_miRNA from 1 species